CUUAGUCAUGCUGUUUGGGAUAGUGACCAAGUUCUGCAGCGGUCAUGCCCCCAUUUCCCAAUGAAGAAAAUUCUGCAGCUGCCUUGGAAGACCAUCCUGAUGGGAAUAAUGUUUAUGUGUCUGUAUAUGGCAAGGGUCUCAACACUCCUCCUGGUGAUCUACUGUCUUGACGAUUUUAGCCCAACCCCAAUCAAACACAGCCGAAGCAGCUAAUCAAACUGUUCAGGGUUGCUUUAUAAUAACAGAAAGAUGUGUUGGAGCUUGGUAGGAACUGAAGUCUGCAGGAUCGUAGCUUACCGGGAACAGGGUUGGAAACACCUGGUAUAUGGAGAUAAAAUGAUUGCUUUUAGAGGAUUCGAGCAGUUGCAGAGCAGUAAGGUUAGUAAACUGCAGCACUGGGUUUGCCGUCCCUGCCAAAGGACACCAUCUGUGCGGUGAGAAGUAUGAGAGCGGCAUCUUUACAUGGCGUCUGCCUCCGAUCUCAUCAAACAACAGCCGAGACGUUACAAGAAAGAAAACAAUGGUUUAAAAUGUUUUUGAUUAGGGAAAAAAAUAGAAGUGUAAACUUUGGAUAGAAGUAAACGGAACAUGAGUGGUCUCUCUUGAUCAUAAAUGAGGACAGAUUACAGGACUUUAGAAGGCCUGAAGCCGUGAUCAUCUUGCGGAAGUGCUGCUUUAUCUGUAGCCUGACUCUUUCGCAAUUUCUGCCCUGUCGCCCGUCACACUGAACGUUUUUGGAAUGGAAUUCUCGUGCUGUCCUGCACCAGACUAUUUCGCAAAUACUGCCAUGAUAGUCUAAACACCCUGGACAUGAUAGACUGAGACAAG